rnacentral:lncRNA from 1 species
CUACCUCUUUGAAAAGAAAGAUAUAACUAUACAUAACUGAACUAUGAACCAUUUUGAAUAGGCUACCUAACCUUUCAAAAUUAUAAUUUUAUUAUUUAACAUUUCAAUCUGUUUGCUUUAAGUCAGUUGGAGAUAUUUUGACUCCAAAAUAUAAGCUAAUUACUUACUUUAAUGAAAUUCAUAGCUGUGAGAAUCGUAUGAAACAUACAAACUAAUUAAAUUUGUAAAGACAAACGAGACAUUUAAAUUUUAAAGUCAAAUACCAUCGACUAAUUCAAGUCAAAUAAAUUGAGAGGUUAGAUAGUAAAAUCAAAAUUUGCAAAGAUUACAUCGCCAACUUAAAAUAGUUCAUAGUUUAGACUUUAGAUAAGUUCUAUAUGUU